GACGAACGCUGGCGGCGUGCCUAAUACAUGCAAGUCGAGCGAAGUUUUUCUGGUGCUUGCACUAGAAAAACUUAGCGGCGAACGGGUGAGUAACACGUAAAGAACCUGCCUCAUAGACUGGGACAACUAUUGGAAACGAUAGCUAAUACCGGAUAACAGUAUUUCUCGCAUGAGAGAUAUUUAAAAGUUGGUUAUGCUAACACUAUGAGAUGGCUUUGCGGUGCAUUAGCUAGUUGGUGGGGUAAAGGCCCACCAAGGCGACGAUGCAUAGCCGACCUGAGAGGGUGAUCGGCCACACUUGGACUGAGACACGGCCCAGACUCCUACGGGAGGCAGCAGUAGGGAAUCUUCCGCAAUGGGCGAAAGCCUGACGGAGCAACGCCGCGUGAGUGAAGAAGGAUUUCGGUUCGUAAAGCUCUGUUGUUAGGGAAGAAUGGAUAUGUAGUAACUAUACAUGUAAGAGACGGUACCUAACCAGAAAGCCACGGCUAACUACGUG
rnacentral:rRNA from 1 species